rnacentral:lncRNA from 1 species
CCCACUCUGCCCUAGAGACAUAGGAGAGAGAGAGAGAGAGGACAGCGAAGGAGCACUUUUGGUGUGUCAAGUGCUCUUCCAACGUCGAAAGCACAGACUCUGAACCCUGCUUUGUUCUUCUUCUUCGUCUUCUCAAAUCUCUCUUAAUUUUUUUCAUUCAUCUGUGAAGAAGAAGAGAGCAGCUUAGAAGGUGAUUAAGUGCUUUUCCUAUAUAUAUAUAUAUAUACGUGUGUAUACUGAUUUGAUUUUUUGUUUAUCGUUCCAGUGCAAGUACUAACUCAUAAUUUGCAGCAAAAUUUGGAAGGAGCAAAAGCUUAGCUUGAAUUAGGUAAAUUCCUCUUGGUAUUUAUGUUACAAUCUCUUUGAAUUUAUAAAAUUUGAGCUUAAAAUUCUUCAAUUUAGCUUUAAGAAAAAAAAGGAUUCUAGGGUAAUUCAUAUUUUUCACAAGAGAAAUUGAUAUUUCCCAUGAUUUAUUCUCGAGAAAGUUGAAACAUUUUUCUGUCUCUUUAGUUGGUUAUCAAAUGACCGUACGUACGUUAUGUUGUAGUACUAUUAUUGAUCAAAUAUGCCCUAUCCUUCAGGAUUUUUCUUGUCUGAUCUAACUAACUAGAAUUUGUUGAAAGUUUUGUUGAAUUAAGACCUUAAGGUAUUAAAAAAGGUUCUAACUUGGCUUUAAGGCUAUGUGAUUGCGACGAUUCUGUGAUGUGAUUGAGACAAUUCUUUGAUGGUUGGUGAAAUAAAUAAAUCCAUUUAUUUCAACCUAUUAAUUUAUCCAGAACUAACCUUAGAGUUUACUAUAUUUGCAUUUUGUAAGGCGGUUAUAUAAACUUAGGGUUGAUAUCAAAAAGCAAUUAUAGGUUUUAUUGCAAAUAAGAUACUAUUAAGAUAAAGGAUUCAACAAUUUAUUCUUGCUCUUAUGACACGAUAUCCAAACAAAACCAAAUACUUGAAAAUUUAUAUGAAAUUUUGAACUAAAUUGCUUUUAGGCUGGGUGAUGAUCUUAGGGACCCCAAACUUGAGGAACUCAUUUAGCAAAAAAAAAAAACUUGGAGGAAUUCUUAAAUUUAAUGGCCAAGUUUGAGGUCCAAAAUUCUAUUGCAUUUAUACCUUCAUCUUAUUGGAGGCUAGAGAAAAGAAAACGCAUACUUGUAGGAGAUUAAAUCAUCUGGUUGUGUCUGACUUGACAAGGUGAACUUCUUGGGGAAGCAGAUUGUAUCUGAUAUUUAGUUCAUCAAAUAAUUUCUUUAUCUCUAUGACCAGUUCUGAUCUUCUCCUGCUCUUCUCUCCAAAGUCUUGAAAGUUCAUUGUAUGACAGAAAUAGACACCCAUCUUGAUCUGGUUUACAUUCUCAAUCUCCUUCACCAACAUACUAUGGUUAGGAUGCCAGUAUUGGGGAGUUCGCUCAAAAUACCUGACCAUGCAAAAGAACAAAAAAAUUGAGAAAAACUGAAACAACGGAGAAUAUUUCGAGUUAGGGGACAAGUCACAAACUGUUGGAUCCAGAAACUCGAAUAAAAUCUCAAAAAUAUUUCUUAUCAAUGCCUGCUAAGGUCCACUAUAGUUUAGAAAAACUAUUUUACUUUAGACUAGAAAUUUAAACAUAUUAAUCGUGCUGGUGACAUCUUACAUUUUUCACUUCUCUACUAGGAAGAGAUGGUGAAUAAGCAAUUGCAGGUGCUAGUUCUAAACUGUAAAUUCAAUACAAGAAUUAAGAAUACCACAACUAAAUGUCAUAAAAUCCAAGGCAAUGAUAUAAUGGAAGGUUUUUAUAAAUAAUGGAACUUCUUAGCAGAAUACAAAGCAGUAUGAUAAUAUGCUCAAACUUGAGGUAACUCUAUGUAAGUAACAACAUGUUUGCUUGCCUAACAGGCUAACACAUUGAAAUGGGCAAGAAUUAAACUUCCAGCACAAAGUCAGAAUUAGUCGCAGGCUUAUAAGUUGUUAUUUGUACAAAAACUAACUUCAUUUUUUUUCACUCUUUCAGUAAUAACUUUAUUCCUACUAAUACUCAUCCUUCUCCAACUAUACAAAAAAUCCUCAACAUUAAUGGGCAUAAUCCAAUCAAUCCCAAAUAAAACAACAAGAGUGGACCAAAUACCCCUUUAAAAAGAAUGAGGUCUCCCUUCAGAAAUUAGUAAGAGAGAAUAAAAUUUAUUUGCGGAAUGUCUGACAAAGAAGCAUGAUGGAAUUUACUACGUCAUAAAUGUUGUAGUGUCACAAGUUAAGUUUCUUUAAAUUAAAUAGAGCUACUUACUUUUUAAUUUUAUCUUCUAGAGCCUCAAUCUUCUGCACUGGUGUCAUGAAAUCAAUGGAGAACUCCACUGAAUCUCCCAUAUCCGGGCUUCUAUAGAAAUUGCUGAUGGCCUUAGUAGCCAAAACUGAAUUUGGAUAGUAUAUCUUUUCAUUAUCAUAUCUCAAGAAUGUUGUUGUUAAAAUAUUCAUCUCUUCAACUAUCAUCUGUCAAAUUGCAUACAG